rnacentral:rRNA from 1 species
GCCCUAUGUUGCCAGCGGAUAAUGCCGGGGACUCGUAGGGGACUGCCGGAGUUAAUUCGGAGGAAGGUGGGGACGACGUCAAGUCAUCAUGCCCCUUACAUCCAGGGCUGCACGCAUGCUACAAUGGCCGGUACAAAGGGUCGCCAACCCGCGAGGGGGAGCCAAUCCCAUAAAGCCGGUCUCAGUUCGGAUCGCAGUCUGCAACUCGACUGCGUGAAGUCGGAGUCGCUAGUAAUCCCGAAUCAGCUCGUCGGGGUGAAUACGUUCCCGGGCCUUGUACACACCGCCCGUCACACCACGAAAGUCGGCAACACCCGAAGCCGGUGGCCCAACCAGUAAUGGAGGGAGCCGUCGAAGGUGGGGUCGGUGAU